CGGCAUGUCGCGAGGUUAACCCGUGUGGGGUAGCCGUAGCGAAAGCGAGUCCGAAUAGGGCGUUUGUAGUGGCAUGUUCUAGACCCGAAGCGGAGUGAUCUACCCAUGGCCAGGGUGAAGCGACGGUAAGACGUCGUGGAGGCCCGAACCCACUUAGGUUGAAAACUGAGGGGAUGAGCUGUGGGUAGGGGUGAAAGGCCAAUCAAACUCCGUGAUAGCUGGUUCUCCCCGAAAUGCAUUUAGGUGCAGCGUCGCGUGUUUCACUCUGGAGGUAGAGCUACUGGAUGGCCGAUGGGCCCCACAAGGUUACUGACGUCAGCCAAACUCCGAAUGCCAGAGUGUGAGAGCGCGGCAGUGAGACUGCGGGGGAUAAGCUUCGUAGUCGAGAGGGAAACAGCCCAGAUCGCCGGCUAAGGCCCCUAAGCGUGUACUAAGUGGAAAAGGAUGUGGGGUCGCGAAGACAACCAGGAGGUUGGCUUAGAAGCAGCCACCCUUGAAAGAGUGCGUAAUAGCUCACUGGUCAAGUGAUCCUGCGCCGACAAUGUAGCGGGGCUCAAGUACACCGCCGAAGCCGCGGCAUUCACAUAACACCCAUGCGGGUCUACGGGCCUGUGUGCAGUGGUGUGGAUGGGUAGGGGAGCGUCGUGCAGCCAUGGAAGCGCCGGAGUGAUCCAGGUGUGGAGGCUGCACGAGUGAGAAUGCAGGCAUGAGUAGCGAAAGACGAGUGAGAAACUCGUCCGCCGAAUGACCAAGGGUUCCUGGGCCAGGUUAAUCCGCCCAGGGUGAGUCGGGACCUAAGGCGAGGCCGACAGGCGUAGUCGAUGGACAACGGGUUGAUAUUCCCGUACCCGUGUGAACGCGCCCCUGGUGAAUCAGUGAUGCUAAGCGCCCUGAAGCCGCCUUCGAACCUUCGGGUUCUCCGGUGUGUGGAUGCGCGUGAACCGAUCUGGUAGUAGCCAAGCGAUGGGGUGACGCAGGAAGGUAGCUGAGCCAGUCAGUGGUAAUACUGGUGUAAGCGUGUAGGGCGUGACCUAGGCAAAUCCGGGUCACACACAGCCUGAGACGUGAUGCGUAGCCGAUUGAGGCGAAUUCAGUGAUCCUAUGCUGCCGAGAAAAGCCUCUAGCGAGCUUUCACACGGCCCGUACCCCAAACCGACACAGGUGGUCAGGUAGAGAAUACUAAGGCGAUCGAGAUAACUGUGGUUAAGGAACUCGGCAAAAUGCCCCCGUAACUUCGGGAGAAGGGGGGCCUCGUCUGGUGACGGAACUUGCUUCCUGAGCUGGGUGGGGCCGCAGAGACCAGAGAGAAGCGACUGUUUACUAAAAACACAGGUCCGUGCGAAGUCGUAAGACGAUGUAUACGGACUGACGCCUGCCCGGUGCUGGAAGGUUAAGAGGACCGGUUAGCCAGUAAUGGCGAAGCUGAGAAUUUAAGCCCCAGUAAACGGCGGUGGUAACUAUAACCAUCCUAAGGUAGCGAAAUUCCUUGUCGGGUAAGUUCCGACCUGCACGAAUGGCGUAACGACUUCUCUGCUGUCUCAACCACAGACUCGGCGAAAUUGCAUUACGAGUAAAGAUGCUCGUUACGCGCGGCAGGACGAAAAGACCCCGGGACCUUCACUAUAGCUUGGUAUUGGUGUUCGGUUCGGUUUGUGUAGGAUAGGUGGGAGACUGUGAAGCGGGCACGCCAGUGUUCGUGGAGUCGUUGUUGAAAUACCACUCUGAUCGUAUUGGACAUCUAACCUCGGACCAUGAUCUGGUUCAGGGACAGUGCCUGGUGGGUAGUUUAACUGGGGCGGUUGCCUCCCAAAAUGUAACGGAGGCGCCCAAAGGUUCCCUCAGCCUGGUUGGCAAUCAGGUGUCGAGUGCAAGUGCACAAGGGAGCUUGACUGUGAGACUGACAGGUCGAGCAGGGACGAAAGUCGGGACUAGUGAUCCGGCACCGGCAAGUGGAAGCGGUGUCGCUCAACGGAUAAAAGGUACCCCGGGGAUAACAGGCUGAUCUUCCCCAAGAGUCCAUAUCGACGGGAUGGUUUGGCACCUCGAUGUCGGCUCGUCGCAUCCUGGGGCUGGAGUAGGUCCCAAGGGUUGGGCUGUUCGCCCAUUAAAGCGGCACGCGAGCUGGGUUUAGAACGUCGUGAGACAGUUCGGUCUCUAUCCGCCGCGCGCGUUAGAAACUUGAGGAAGGCUGUCCCUAGUACGAGAGGACCGGGACGGACGAACCUCUGGUGUGCCAGUUGUUCCGCCAGGAGCACUGCUGGUUAGCUACGUUCGGAAGGGAUAACCGCUGAAAGCAUCUAAGCGGGAAGCCUGUUCCAAGAUGAGGUUUCUCACCCCCUCGAGGGGGUAAGGCCCCCGGCAGACCACCGGGUUGAUAGGCCAGAACUGGAAGCACAGUAAUGUGUGGAGGUGACUGGUACUAAUAGGCCGAGGACUUACCACAA
rnacentral:rRNA from 1 species